rnacentral:lncRNA from 1 species
CCCCGGAUCAGUUCAACAAGCAUAAAACUAUGCUAGUGAAGAAACUGAGGAGGAUAGUUGGUCUGUAGUGGGGUGCGCGAGCACAGAGCCUACAAACACACUAGCUAUCCAAUCACCACUCAUACCCGAAUGUUCAUUUGCCCCGCUAACAUCAAUCUUUCCAACCACUCUUGAGAUGUAAUCAAAAAAGCAACUGGAAGACGGAUG